UACGUAGGGUGCGAGCGUUGUCCGGAAUUAUUGGGCGUAAAGAGCUCGUAGGCGGUUUGUCGCGUCGGCCGUGAAAACUUGGGGCUUAACCCCGAGCCUGCGGUCGAUACGGGCAGACUUGAGUUCGGCAGGGGAGACUGGAAUUCCCGGUGUAGCGGUGAAAUGCGCAGAUAUCAGGAGGAACACCGGUGGCGAAGGCGGGUCUCUGGGCAACUACUGACGCUGAGGAGCGAAAGCGUGGGGAGCGAACAGG
rnacentral:rRNA from 1 species